rnacentral:rRNA from 1 species
UAAACGAUGUCGAUUUGGAGGUUGUGCCCUUGAGGCGUGGCUUCCGGAGCUAACGCGUUAAAUCGACCGCCUGGGGAGUACGGCCGCAAGGUUAAAACUCAAAUGAAUUGACGGGGGCCCGCACAAGCGGUGGAGCAUGUGGUUUAAUUCGAUGCAACGCGAAGAACCUUACCUGGUCUUGACAUCCACAGAACUUUCCAGAGAUGGAUUGGUGCCUUCGGGAACUGUGAGACAGGUGCUGCAUGGCUGUCGUCAGCUCGUGUUGUGAAAUGUUGGGUUAAGUCCCGCAACGAGCGCAACCCUUAUCCUUUGUUGCCAGCGGUUCGGCCGGGAACUCAAAGGAGACUGCCAGUGAUAAACUGGAGGAAGGUGGGGAUGACGUCAAGUCAUCAUGGCCCUUACGACCAGGGCUACACACGUGCUACAAUGGCAUAUACAAAGAGAAGCGACCUCGCGAGAGCAAGCGGACCUCAUAAAGUAUGUCGUAGUCCGGAUUGGAGUCUGCAACUCGACUCCAUGAAGUCGGAAUCGCUAGUAAUCGUAGAUCAGAAUGCUACGGUGAAUACGUUCCCGGGCCUUGUACACACCGCCCGUCACACCAUGGGAGUGGGUUGCAAAAGAAGUAGGUAGCUUAACCUUCGGGAGGGCGCUUACCACUUUGUGAUUCAUGACUGGGGUGAAGUCGUAACAAGGUAACCGUAGGGGAACCUGCGGUUG